CCUACGGGUGGCAGCAGUGGGGAAUAUUGGACAAUGGGGGGAACCCUGAUCCAGCCAUGCCGCGUGUGUGAAGAAGGCCCUCGGGUUGUAAAGCACUUUCAGUGAGGAAGAACGCCUGGUGGUUAAUACCCAUGAGGAAAGACAUCACUCACAGAAGAAGCACUGGCUAACUCCGUGCCAGCAGCCGCGGUAAUACGGAGGGUGCGAGCGUUAAUCGGAAUUACUGGGCGUAAAGCGCGCGUAGGUGGCUUGAUAAGCCGGUUGUGAAAGCCCCGGGCUCAACCUGGGAACGGCAUCCGGAACUGUCAAGCUAGAGUGCAGGAGAGGAAGGUAGAAUUCCCGGUGUAGCGGUGAAAUGCGUAGAGAUCGGGAGGAAUACCAGUGGCGAAGGCGGCCUUCUGGACUGACACUGACACUGAGGUGCGAAAGCGUGGGUAGCAAACAGGAUUAGAUACCCCAGUAGUC
rnacentral:rRNA from 1 species